CAGUCGCCGCGGUAAUGCGGAGGGAGCUAGCGUUAUUCGGAAUUACUGGGCGUAAAGCGCACGUAGGCGGCUUUGUAAGUUAGAGGUGAAAGCCUGGAGCUCAACUCCAGAAUUGCCUUUAAGACUGCAUCGCUUGAAUCCAGGAGAGGUGAGUGGGAUUCCGAGUGUAGAGGUGAAAUUCGUAGAUAUUCGGAAGAACACCAGUGGCGAAGGCGGCUCACUGGACUGGUAUUGACGCUGAGGUGCGAAAGCGUGGGGAGCAAACAGGAUUAGAUACCCGCGUAGUCCCUGUCUCUUAUAC
rnacentral:rRNA from 1 species